rnacentral:rRNA from 1 species
CCUACGGGUGGCAGCAGUGAGGAAUAUUGGUCAAUGGCCGGGAGGCUGAACCAGCCAAGUCGCGUGAGGGAAGACGGCCCUACGGGUUGUAAACCUCUUUUGUCAGGGAGCAAGGUGAAGGUCGGGACCUGCUGUGAGAGUACCUGAAGAAAAAGCAUCGGCUAACUCCGUGCCAGCAGCCGCGGUAAUACGGGGGAUGCGAGCGUUAUCCGGAUUCAUUGGGGGAAAAGGGUGCGCAGGCGGAGGCACAAGUCAGCGGUAAAAUCGCGGGGCUCAACCCCGCUCCGCCGUUGAAACUGUGUGCCUUGAGUGCGCGAAGGGUAGGCGGAAUGCGUGGUGUAGCGGUGAAAUGCAUAGAUAUCACGCAGAACUCCGAUGGCGAAGGCAGCCUACCGGCGCGCAACUGACGCUCAUGCACGAAAGCGUGGGUAUCGAACAGGAUUAGAUACCCUAGUAGUC